GACAGAGGGUGCAAACGUUGUUCGGAAUUACUGGGCGUAAAGCGAGUGUAGGCGGUUUGGAUAGUCGGAUGUGAAAGCCCCGGGCUCAACCCGGGAAGUGCAUUCGAUACUCCCAAGCUAGAGUAUCGGAGAGGUUGGUGGAAUUCUCGGUGUAGAGGUGAAAUUCGUAGAUAUCGAGAGGAACACCGGUGGCGAAGGCGGCCAACUGGACGAAUACUGACGCUGAGACUCGAAAGCGUGGGGAGCAAACAGG
rnacentral:rRNA from 1 species